AAUCAUGAGUGGUAUAAAUGUGUGAUAUUCCUUAUCGCAUAAAUCGUGACCCAUAAUGCCAGACCGUUUGAAACGUUUGAUAUGAAACUAGUGAUUCUUCUUCAAAUAAGGAAAAUAGGACAACACAAAGCGAAUGUUUACACUAGUACUGUUGGUGUUGGUUCCACGUAGCAUAAGCUCCUUGGAAUGCUACUCUUGUUCAAAUGUGACGAACAUUGAAAGUUGCAUUCAUACCACAUUGUGCAGUCAUGGACAGGUAAAUUAUUGUUUUGUUCCCCCAACUUUGCCCAGAAGGGUACUAGAUGAGAUAGACAAAAUGAUCGUUUG